rnacentral:rRNA from 1 species
GACGAACGCUGGCGGCAUGCCUAACACAUGCAAGUCGAACGGAGAUUAUUUCGGUAAUCUUAGUGGCGAACGGGUGAGUAACGCGUGGGCAACCUACCCUCUAGAUGGGGACAACAUCCCGAAAGGGGUGCUAAUACCGAAUGUGACAGCAAUCUCGCAUGAGGAUGCUGUGAAAGAUGGCCUCUAUUUAUAAGCUAUCGCUAGAGGAUGGGCCUGCGUCUGAUUAGCUAGUUGGUGGGGUAACGGCCUACCAAGGCGAUGAUCAGUAGCCGGUCUGAGAGGAGGAACGGCCACAUUGGGACUGAGACACGGCCCAGACUCCUACGGGAGGCAGCAGUGGGGAAUCUUCCGCAAUGGGCGAAAGCCUGACGGAGCAAUGCCGCGUGAGCGAUGAAGGAAUUCGUUCCGUAUAGCUCUUUUGUUUAUGACGAAUGUGCAGAUUGUGAACAAUGAUUUGUAAUGACGGUAGUAAACGAAUAAGCCACGGCUAACUACGUGCCAGCCGCCGCCGUAAAAC